rnacentral:rRNA from 1 species
AACGAACGCUGGCGGCAUGCCUAACACAUGCAAGUCGAACGGUAACAGCAAGCAGCUUGCUGCUUCGCUGCCGAGUGGCGGGCGGGUGAGACAUGUGUGGGGAACUGCUUGCUGGAGGGGGAUCACUACUGGCAACGGUAGCUAAUACCGCAUAACGUCGGCAGACCAAAGGGGGGGAGCUUAGUGCCUCUUGUCGUCGGGUGUGCGCAGGUGGGAUUAGCGAGUAGGUGGGGUAAUGGCUCACCUAGGCGCCGGACUCUAGCUGGUCUGGGAGGGAGACCAGCCACACGGGAACUGAGACACGGUCCAGACGCCUGCGGUAGGCAGCAGUGGGGAAUAUUGCGCAAUGGGCGCGAGCCUUAUACAGCCAUGCCGCGUGUAUGAAGAAGGCGUUCGGGUUGGAAAGUACUUUCUGCGGUGGGGAAGGGAGUAAAGUUAAUACCUUGGGUCAGUGACGGUACCGGGAGAAGAAGCACCGGCUAACUCCGUG